GCCACCGUUAUUUUGUUUUUGUUUUUGCGAAGACAUGUUCGUAUAUAUUGUCUAAUAUUUUUGAAACGAGAAAACGCGGUGUUAUUCCUGUUGUGAUUUGAACCCGGAACGACACAACUGAAUCUUAUUAAAUCUUCGGAUCUUCGGGGUACAUCUCUUUAAUAUCUUUGUCAUAUCAUGGCCCUUCUUAGCCCCAAUAUAUUAUUAGGAGUGUUGAGAAUUUGACAAGGUAAAAACCACGUUUGCUUAACAACCCUCAGGCAUGUUGGACAUUUCCGUGGAGUUUAUAAUAUGACGGCAAUUAACAUCGUAAUUAGCGAAUAUUAAUGUGACUAAAGAAAAAUGAACGAAAGAAACAACGAAGGAAACAAAGAACUAUUUCACGGACCAGUGGUCAUACGCUGUAUCUCCUGUAUUAACUGAAUCGAGAAAAUUUUGAUGGAUUUGAAUUCGUUGAAACCGGGAUUGAACAUUCAAUUCAUGAAUUUUUCUUCUCCACAAAAAUAAACAUUUUCGCACCUUUAAAGAAUUUGUGGUUUUACUUUGCUGUAGAUCGAACCAAUUUUUAAAAGUCAGGUAUAUUUGCUUUAUUUGCGCGUUUAUUUGGAAUAUCACAAGACAGACCAAUUUUGUGUACUAACAACGUUUGCGAUAGAGUGUUCUUAUACAUCGCGUUGCUUCUAACGUUCGGCAUCCUCAUCACGAGAUAUGUGUUGCUAAUCUGGGACAUCUAUUCAGAAUGCUCUAAUGAAUCACGAAACGAUAUGAAUAGAAGACCUGCUUAGGGUUCGGUGGCUCCGUAAAAGACCAUGUAAUGUUGUGUUGUGGCGGUGAUCAUUAAUAAUAUCCUUACAAAAGACGUCUCAAGACCUGCAUCAGGAGUAAGUUCUCGGGAUUUAUGUAGUUUCUUCAGAUAUGUCAGACUUUUAUAUACACGUCACAUUGUUGUGGGCAUUUGUCUUCACACUGACUCCACUUGUUGUGGUGUUAUAUGACCUCUACAUAAUAGCCCCAGUCAUUACACAGCGGGGAGAAAAUGAUAAAACAGGCCCCGGAAAAGAAAAAACCCCUAAAAAUGCAGGCUGUAUAAAAGGAUGUUUAGAAACGGAGUCAUCUUCAAGAACAAUUCCCUCACCGAAAAACAGCGUGACCAUUAACAAUAUACUCAACAACAGCUACAUCAAUAGUAACAAGACGAACAUCUACAUCGGACGAAGCUGUGAAAACUCUCAUUAUUUUGGUUAGAUCUGGGAGAAGUUAGUUUAUAUAUACUGUAAACGGCAAAAUUCGCCAGUUAUCUAACCAUUUUUUUUUUCAAUGAAAAAAUAAAACUGAAUUUUUUCGCACGUU